GACGAACGCUGGCGGCGUGCUUAACACAUGCAAGUCGAACGGAAAGGCCCUGCUUUUGUGGGGUGCUCGAGUGGCGAACGGGUGAGUAACACGUGAGUAACCUGCCCUUGACUUUGGGAUAACUUCAGGAAACUGGGGCUAAUAUCGGAUAGGAGCUCCUGCUGCAUGGUGGGGGUUGGAAAGUUUCGGCGGUUGGGGAUGGCCUCGCGGCUUAUCAGCUUGUUGGUGGGGUAGUGGCUUACCAAGGCUUUGACGGGUAGCCGGCCUGAGAGGGUGACCGGCCACAUUGGGACUGAGAUACGGCCCAGACUCCUACGGGAGGCAGCAGGGGGGAAUAUUGCACAAUGGGCGGAAGCCUGAUGCAGCAACGCCGCGUGCGGGAUGACGGCCUUCGGGUUGUAAACCGCUUUCGCCUGUGACGAAGCGUGAGUGACGGUAAUGGGUAAAGAAGCACCGGCUAACUACGUG
rnacentral:rRNA from 1 species